rnacentral:tRNA from 1 species
UAUUAGAUAGCUCAAUGGUAGAGCAACUGACUAAUAAUCAGUUUGGCGUAGGUUCGAAUCCUACUAUAAUCA